GUUUACUAUCUGUAGCACAUUUGGGAUAGUUUACUGUCUGCAGCACAUUUGGGAUAGUUUACUAUCUGUAGCACAUUUGGGAUAGUUUACUAUCUGCCUUGCAUUUGGGAUAGUUUAACAUCCAUAGUGCAUUUGGGAUAGUUUACUAUCUGCAGCACAUUUGGGAUAGUUUACAAUCUGAAGUGUAUUUGUGAUAGUUUACUGUCUGCAGCACAUUUGGGAUAGUUUAAUCUCCAUAGCACAUUUGGGAUAGUUUUCUAUCUGUAGCACAUUUGGGAUAGUUUACUAUCUGUAGUGUAUUUUGAUAGUUUGCUAUCUGCAGUGCCCUUGGGAUAUUUUACUAUCUGCAGCACAUUUGGGAUAGUUUACUAUCUGCAGCACAUUUGGGAUAGUUUACUAUCUGUAGCAAAUUUUGGAGAGUUUACUAUUUGUAGCACAUUGGGAUAGUUUACUCUCUGCAGUGUAUUUGGGAUAGUUUACCAUCUGCACCGCAUUUUGGAUAGUUUACUAUGUGCACUUUAUUUGGGAUAGUUUACCAUCUAUAGCACAUUUGGGUUAGUUUACUAUCUGCUCUGUAUUUGGGAGAGUUUACCAUCUGCACCUCAUUUGGGAUAGUUUGCUAUCUGCUCUGUAUUUGGGAUGGUUUACUAUCUGCGGUGCAUUUGGGAUAGUUUACUAUCUGCAGCACAUUUGGGAUAGUUUACUGUCUGUAGUGUGUUUGCGAUAGUUUACUAUCUGCCUCACAUUUCGGAUAGUUUACUGUCUGCAGUGCAUUUUGGAUAGUUUACUAUCCAUAAUGUAUUUGCGAUAGUUUACUAUCUGCAGCGCAUUUGGGAUAGUUUACUAUCUGCAGCACAUUUCGGGUAGUUUACCAUCUGCAGCGCAUUUGCGAUAGUUUACUGUCUGCCUUGCAUUUGGGAUAGUUCACUAUCUGCAGCACAUUUGGUAUAGUUUACUAUCUGCAGUGCAUUUGGGAUAGUUUACUGUCUGCCUUGCAUUUGGGAUAGUUUACUAUCUGCAGCGCAUUUAGGAUAGUUUACUAUCCGUAGUGUAUUUUUGAUAGUUUACUAUCUGCAGUGCAUUUUGGAUAGUUUACUAUCCAUAGUGUAUUUGCGAUAGUUUACUAUCUGCAGCACAUUUGGGAUAGUUUACUAUCUGCAGCACAUUUCGGAUAGUUUACUAUCUGCAGCGCAUUAGCAAUAGUUUACUAUCUGCCUUGCAUUUGGGAUAUUUCACUAUCUGCAGCACAUUUGGUAUAGUUUACUAUCUGCAGUGCAUUUGGGAUAGUUUACUGUCUGCCUUGCAUUUGGGAUAGUUUACUAUCUGCAGCGCAUUUGGGAUAGUUUACUAUCCAUAGUGUAUUUUUGAUAGUUUACUAUCUGCAGUGCAUUUGGGAUAGUUUACUAUCCAUAGUGUAUUUGCGAUAGUUUACUCUCUGCAGCACAUUUGGGAUAGUUUACUAUCUGCAGCGCAUUUGGGAUAGUUUACUAUCCAUAGUGUAUUUGCAAUGGUUUACCAUCUGCAGCGCAUUUGGGAUAGUUUACUAUCUGCAGUGCAUUUGGGAUAAUUUAGUAUCUGCCACACAUUUGGGAUAGUUUACUAUCCAUAGUGUAUUUGGGAUAGUUUACUAUCUGCAGCGCAUUUGGGAUAGUUUACUAUCUGCAGCGCAUUUGGGAUAGUUUACCAUCCAUAGUGUAUUUGCGAUAGUUUACUAUCUGCAGCGCAUUUGGGAUAGUUUACUAUCUGCCUUGCAUUUGGGAUAGUUUACUAUCUGCAGCGCAUUUGGGAUAGUUUACCAUCCAUAGUGUAUUUGCGAUAGUUUACUAUCUGCAGCGCAUUUGGGAUAGUUUACUGUCUGCCUUGCAUUUGGGAUAGUUUACUAUCUGCAGCGCAUUUGGGAUAGUUUACCAUCCAUAGUGUGUUUGCGACAGUUUACUAUCUGCAGCGCAUUUGGGAUAGUUUACCAUCCAUAGUGUAUUUGCGACAGUUUACUAUCUGCAGCACAUUUCGGAUAGUUAACUGUCUGCCUUGCAUUUGGGAUAGUUUACUAUCUGCAGCGCAUUUGGGAUAGUUUACUGUCUGCCUUGCAUUUGGGAUAGUUUACUAUCUGCAGCGCAUUUGGGAUAGUUUACCAUCCAUAGUGUGUUUGCGACAGUUUACUAUCUGCAGCGCAUUUGGGAUAGUUUACCAUCCAUAGUGUAUUUGCGACAGUUUACUAUCUGCAGCACAUUUCGGAUAGUUAACUCUCUGCCUUGCAUUUGGGAUAGUUUACUAUCUGCAGCGCAUUUGGGAUAGUUUUCCAUCCAUUGCAUAUUUGCGAAAGUUUACUAUCUGCAGCGCAUUUGGGAUAGUUUACUAUCCAUAGUGUAUUUGCAAUGGUUUACCAUCUGCAGCACAUUUGGGAUAGUUUACUAUCUGCAGUGCAUUUGGGAUAAUUUAGUAUCUGCCACACAUUUGGGAUAGUUUACUAUCCAUAGUGUAUUUGUGAUAGUUUACUAUCUGCAGCGCAUUUGGGAUAGUUUACUAUCUGCAGCGCAUUUAGGAUAGUUUACUCUCCAUUGUGUAUUUGCAAUAGUUUACUAUAUGCAGCGCAUUUGGGAUAGUUUACUAUCUUCAAUGCAUUUGGGAUAGGUUACUGUCUGCCUUGCAUUUGGGGUAGUUUACUAUGUGCAGCGCAGUUGGGAUAGUUUACUGUCUGCCUUGCAUUUGGGGUAGUUUACUAUCUGUAGCACAUUUGGGAUAGUUUACUAUCUGCAGCGCAUUUGCAAUAGUUUACUAUCUGCAGCGCAUUUGGGAUAGUUUACUGUCUGUAGUUCUUUUGCCCAUUAGCUUGGAUUCCUUGUCGUAGGGUCUCUUUUUGUCUGCUUUGCAAGCAAAAAUCAGAGCCCCUGAGUCACAAAAGUGUGUAGGUACCUUUCCACACUAGUUUCUCCUCAUUCAGGGACCCCAUGGCUUAUAAGAAGGUAAAGCUGAGUGGCUCUCAAGUGUCCCAGGAAAACAGUCCUUUCUGCAUGUUUGAUCUGCCAAGUUGCCAAUAUCUGAUCUGAGCUCCUCAGAAGCUCCUAGGAGAAAGAGGUGACUCAGGGAGCAGAAAUGAUGGGCCAGAGAGAGAACCCUAAUAGCUAGCUUCACAGGCCCAUCUCUGUCUUUGCCCACCUUUCCUCACCCAAGUACAACAGUGUUUGGAGUGGCUUAGUGUAACCUAACUUUCAGUGGUCCCCUCAGGACUGGUAGGCCAAAUUUAGAGCCCACACAAGGAAGUCUAUUGGUCAUGUGGUGUGCCUUGAAGCCUGCAGCAUGUAAAAAGUUAUAUUUAAUACCCUGGGAGAGACCAAAUACAGGAAAGCCAGUUUGUGGGAUACAAUUAUUUUUUCAUAAGAAGCCUCUCUGCCUAUGUGUUUGGUAAACUGUUAGCCCUCUAAGAGUUGGACUGUGGAUUCUCUAGUCUUAUAGUUAGACACGUGGACAAGCAGAACGUUUAAGAGUCAGAGGAACAUUCCAGGAUCUUCAACAGCCCUAAACAAGGUCAUUGGCAUCCUGCUAGAUAUGGUUGGCACAGAGCACACUCUGUGACUGACCCUCUCAAUCAGCCCAGCAUCCUGUCCAGUGGCCUGACCGAGGGCUGCACUGUAAUCCUUGUUUCCUUUGAAAGUCUGGAAUUCAUAAGGAAAUAGGGUGGGGGUAAAGAAUGGAUGAUCUAAUUUUCCAAGGGAGUAUUGGAUUAGUCAACAACUUGAUCCCCACUGCUGAGAUAGCUCCUUUUGUGAAUAUUUUACCUACCCACCUGCUAGGUCUCAAGGCUUCUGAAAGUACUCUUCCUAGACAACUACACUGAGCAUCUUAAAACAGCACAGUCUGCUUCCUUCCCUCACUGAUUCUGAAAAACGGAGCCGCUCCCAGUCCCUUUCGUAUCCACCCUGACUCCAGGCAGGAUAACACUGGAUAAAGUCCCCUAUAUCCUUCAGCAUAAAAAUCCCAAAAGUCCACUCCAAGGCCUUCUGCCUGCUCUUGUUUAAGACACAGUGGCUGGUCUCUGAAGCAGCCUCUAGAGGCUCUGAUGCCAGCCAGUACAUUUAAAGAUGAGCUAAAGGAAACAGAAGGGUAGUUGGUACACUUCUUUAUCUCCCGACAUUUGCCUGGAGCAAAAGAAAGAGGAGAAUGAUGCUGAGAUUAAAGCCUCUCCCCUGGAGUGAUUCUAUGUGGCCUGUUGCGUUGGUGCAGAGAGGCAAGGCAAUAAGGCCUUCUGGGGUUCAGCAGAGAGACAGGUCAAACAAGGGUACUGCCCAGGCUGCUGGGGCCCCAAUCAAGAUGUGACUCUUCUCCAAAGGGAGCAGAUGACACGGGCCUCCUUGUACCAGUGUGGCAGCCAGCAUGUGUGCAGGAUGGGGACAGACACUCAGGAUAG
rnacentral:lncRNA from 1 species